AUCAAAGUCGUGCGGUACACGCACCGCAACACUUUUCGCCCCCCUCUCUCUCUCCCUCGACCCUCUCCUCCGCCUCUGCCCAUGGCUCUCGCUCCGACUCCGGCAAUGAAUCUCCGUGGGCGGCCGCCGCGCACGGUCGUGGCCGGCCCGCCUGAGACACGAUUCCUUCAUGUGCGCGUCGUCGUCGUUGCACCUAUCUUCUUCUCGAUCUGUUCCUGGUGGUGCUUGCAUCUCCACAUGGCUAAGGAUCGAGGAGCCCAUGAUCCGAGGCCGCCAUGCACGAUCAUGCCCAACCUGCCGGAGAUUUGUCUUGCUUGCAUGUUCACAGGGCCAUGUAUCGUGGAUCUGAUGAACAAGAUGAACAUCCUAGGUUUUCCAUGUUACUCGUAUGCCUUAACUUGUCCACAUGUACAAAGCGCCGCUGCCACUGAAAGUGGCCAUGCUAGCGUAUGAACCAGUGAUGUACAAUCCAUUCGAAAAAUGUGUGUGUCAGCAUCUCGACAAGUAGCGAAAAUCCAAGGACACCACAACAUAUAUGUACAUGGGAUUUCUAAAAGAUAUGUUUGCUGCUUGCAGAUAUCAGGGGUGGUGAAUCACAUGAAGGAUUUAAUUGAGUUCAGCCACAAGAACAAGCUCGCUCCUAUAGCCGCCGCAGCCGCAGACGAAGUCGAUUAGGAAGCUCUCUCGGUGACCCCUCAAAGAUGGCCUCCAUGGGCGCAGGGAAGGUCUGGUUCUGGUUCGGGAAGGUCUGGGGACGAAAAGGGCAAGGGGCUGGUAAGCAUUCUAUGCUACUUGUUUGAUCUACUAUCGGGUCGGUAAUUCGUGGCUGUUCGUGGCAGAUCCGUCGUGGUAGACAUAGAUCCAACGUUCAGGAGAAAAGAAGCUGAGUUAUUUGUGAUUGAUUUUUUCAUUCAGUCAUGCCUACUAGCGAUUUCUGCUGUAGUCUAAUCUCUAGUGAAAUAUCAUGGCUGCUGUAGUCUUUUAAUGAGAUAUCAUGGCUGCUGUAGACUUUUAGUGAAAUAUCAUGGCUGCUGUAGUCUCUAGCCUGCAACUGCAUCAUUAUUCUGACAACAUCUGCAACUCAGAUGGCCUCCUACUAGUGAUUUUGAGGAUUUCAAAACCCACACUAAUUCAUAUAUCCUGAAGGACCUCGUCAUCAUCCCCAACAGUCUGAGGAGAGCGGCAAGAAGUCUAAGGGCGGAAAGAAAUAGACCUUAUCGUCUGAUAUUUUUAUUUGAUCAUCCCGAUAUGAGACAUGCUAUAUAGUGCUGUAUGCUUAUAUAGCCUGAUGUCCUUAGUCAUGGCUCUAUGUUUCCUAUCCUGGUAUCAGACAUACCGUAGUGCCCUGUAUCCAAUCCAGGCUGUAAAAUAAGAUAUUUAGAUCCUUACGAAGAAUUUUACUAUACUAUUUCAGCAA